rnacentral:rRNA from 1 species
AUUGAACGCUGGCGGCAGGCCUAACACAUGCAAGUCGAGCGAGCGGCGGACGGGUGAGUAAUGUCUGGGAAACUGCCGGAUGGAGGGGGAUAACUACUGGAAACGGUAGCUAAUACCGCAUACCAUCAGAUGUGCCCAGAUGGGGUUAGCUAGUGGGUGGGGUAACGGCGCACCUAGGCGACGAUACCUAGCUGGUCUGAGAGGAUGACCAGCCAAACUGGAACGGGGACACGGUCCAGAGUCCUACGGGAGGCAGCAGGGGGGAAUAUUGCACAAUGGGGGCAAGCCUGAUGCAGCAAUGCCGCGUGUGUGAAGCAGGCCUUCGGGUUGUAAAGCACUUUCAGCGGGGAGGCGUUACCCGCAGAAGAAGCACCGGCUAACUCCGUGCCAGCAGCCGCGGUAAUUC